rnacentral:rRNA from 1 species
AAAGAUUUCUUCGGAAUGAAUUUGAUUAAGUUUAGUGGCGGACGGGUGAGUAACGCGUGAGUAACCUGCCUCUAAGAGGGGAAUAACAUUCUGAAAAGAAUGCUAAUACCGCAUAACAUAUAUUUAUCGCAUGGUAGAUAUAUCAAAGAUUUAUCGCUUAGAGAUGGACUCGCGUCCGAUUAGUUAGUUGGUGAGGUAACGGCUCACCAAGACUGCGAUCGGUAGCCGGACUGAGAGGUUGAACGGCCACAUUGGGACUGAGACACGGCCCAGACUCCUACGGGAGGCAGCAGUGGGGGAUAUUGCGCAAUGGGGGAAACCCUGACGCAGCAACGCCGCGUGAAGGAUGAAGGUCUUCGGAUUGUAAACUUCUUUUAUUAAGGACGAAGAAAGUGACGGUACUUAAUGAAUAAGCUCCGGCUAACUACGUGCCAGCAGCCGCGGUAAUACGUAGGGAGCAAGCGUUGUCCGGACUUACUGGGUGUAAAGGGUGCGUAGGCGGCUUUGCAAGUCAGAUGUGAAAUCUAUGGGCUCGACCCAUAGCCUGCAUUUGAAACUGCAGAGCUUGAGUGAAGUAGAGGCAGGCGGAAUUCCCCGUGUAGCGGUGAAAUGCGUAGAGAUGGGGAGGAACACCAGUGG